rnacentral:rRNA from 1 species
GAUGAACGCUGGCGGCGUGCCUAAUACAUGCAAGUCGAGCGAACGGACGAGAAGCUUGCUUCUCUGAUGUUAGCGGCGGACGGGUGAGUAACACGUGGAUAACCUACCUAUAAGACUGGGAUAACUUCGGGAAACCGUAGCUAAUACCGGAUAACAUUUUGAACCGCAUGGUUCAACAGUGAAAGACGGUCUUGCUGUCACUUAUAGAUGGAUCCGCGCUGCAUUAGCUAGUUGGUAAGGUAACGGCUUACCAAGGCAACGAUGCGUAGCCGACCUGAGAGGGUGAUCGGCCACACUGGAACUGAGACACGGUCCAGACUCCUACGGGAGGCAGCAGUAGGGAAUCUUCCGCAAUGGGCGAAAGCCUGACGGAGCAACGCCGCGUGAGUGAUGAAGGUCUUCGGAUCGUAAAACUCUGUUAUUAGGGAAGAACAUAUGUGUAAGUAACUGUGCACGUCUUGACGGUACCUAAUCAGAAAGCCACGGCUAACUACGUG